UGCCUUUUGUGUUACCAGAUCAUUUUCUGAAGUGAUGAAUGUGGGGUCAAAUAAGGCAUACAGUAAACUCCCUGCUGCUUAUGGUGCCUUGAGGUUCUUACCCCCUGGGCACUGUGUGAUGUGGAAACUGUU